CUGUCGCACGUCGCCUUCUAUGUGCUGCGCAUCGACAUGGAUGCCGCCAUGCCAAGAAGCGCCGCGAGAAGGACGCCCGGACCACACUUGACCCUGAGCAUGUCCGCCGGACCGGUGGUGAUCCUGGCGCUGGACCCAGCAACACUGAGGCAUCGCCGCAGCCAGCGCCACGUCAAGACCGAUGGGUGCGUCCUCCAUCGCCUUCGCUGGAGCGGGUUGCAGAGCGGUUGCGUCGCCUCUCCAGCGCGCCCUCAUGCCCGGACACGGCUCACUACAUGGAAGUCGGCCGGCCCUCGCGAUCGUCCCGUCGGGCAGAUCGCAUCAACGGUUGUGGCAAACUUCGCUGGCGACGACUCCUCUUCUUCAUCUGACGAAGACAAGCAGAUGCACUUGAACCUCGACGGAGUACCGGCGAGGCUGACUAGCCCGACCCUCGACACCGGCCCCUCGGGAACGACGUCACCGCCGACACUCUUGAGCCCAAGUGGCAAUCGGGUCAUCCAUCGGUUGGCAACUGCAAGAUCGUCGGAUGACAACAUUGGGCGCGAGCGCUCACGCUCGCCCCCUCACCAUCUUCCCUUAUGUGCGGGCUCGAUGUCCGGCUUUGGCACGGCAAGGCCACGACGCGUUCGGUCACGACAUGAUCGGCUCUUGCGUGGCGGACGCGGCCACGGCGCGUCCUCGCCCGGCCACGGCGGACGCGGCCCCGGUGCGGCUUUCCCCGGCCACGGCGGCUUCAGGAGCAGGUCCAAGGUGGCUACCGGCUACCAGUUGGAGCCACGGGCGCUCGACGGCUGGCGGCGGCUGUUGGAGGCGGUUAGGGUUUGA
rnacentral:misc_RNA from 1 species